GGUUAAUACCCUGAGUAGAUGACGGUACCCGAAUAAGAAGCACCGGCUAACUACGUGCCAGCAGCCGCGGUAAUACGUAGGGUGCGAGCGUUAAUCGGAAUUACUGGGCGUAAAGCGUGCGCAGGCGGUUUUGUAAGUCAGAUGUGAAAUCCCCGGGCUCAACCUGGGAACUGCAUUUGAGACUGCAAGACUGGAGUUUGGCAGAGGGGGGUGGAAUUCCACGUGUAGCAGUGAAAUGCGUAGAGAUGUGGAGGAACACCGAUGGCGAAGGCAGCCCCCUGGGCCAACACUGACGCUCAUGCACGAAAGCGUGGGGAGCAAACAGGAUUAGAUACCCUGGUAGUCCACGCCCUAAACGAUGUCAACUAGGUGUUGGGAGGGUUAAACCUUUUAGUGCCGUAGCUAACA
rnacentral:rRNA from 1 species